AAUGUAAUAAGAUUGGAAUUUUGAAAGAGAAUUUUAAUUAUUUUAUUAUCCCCUAAGAGAACUGAGGAAUAACAUCUGUGUUAAAGAGAUUUUGAUAGGAAAAAAGCAGAAUGAGUGGAUGACUAAUGGGCUUCCAUUAUGGAAACAAUGCCUACGUUAUAGCAUUUCUUUUCAAUGAAGUGAGAAUAACUUGGCUCUAUCAAGGGACAAAGCAGAAGCCUAGCAGUCUGAAGCAGAUAAAAAAUAAGGAUGGACAAUAUGUUGGAAAGACAUUUACAUAA
rnacentral:lncRNA from 1 species